UUCUAAUACUGUAUGCAAUAGGUUAACUAUAUUUGGUGUAUGGAAAUAUUUUACAAUGGACAUGUCAGUCUGGCAGGUUUUAUUUGACCUUGACCUCAUUUUCACUGUUCAUUGCUCAAUGUUAAGUUUUUGUUUUUUGGUCUGUUUUUCUAAUACUGUAUGCAGUAAGUCAACUAUAUUUGGUGUAUGGAAAUAUUUUACGAUGAACAUGUCAGUCUGGCAGGUUUUACUUGACCUUGACCUCAUUUUCAGGGUUCAUUGAUCAAUGUUAAGUUUUUGUGUUUUGGUCUGUUUUCCUAAUACUGUAUGCAAAAGGUCAACUAUAUUUGGUGUAUGGAAUGAUUGUAAGGUGUAUAUGUCUGUCUGGCAGGUAUCAUCUCAUCUUCACCUCAUUUUCAUGGUUCAUUGGUCAAUGUUCAGUUUUCCUGGUUAACUUUGUUUCUUGGAUACUUUAAGUAAUAGGUCAACUAUAUUUGAUGCAUGGAAUGAUUUUAAGGUGUACAUGUCUGUCUGGCAGGGUUUAUCUGACCUUGACUUCAUUUUCAUGGUUCAUUGGUCAAUAUAGAAUUUCCAUGGUUUGGUAUGAUUCUUUUAUACUAUAAACAAUAGGUCAUCUAUAUUCUGUGUUUGGUUGGUUUAUCUGACCUUGACCUCAUUUUUUUGGAUAAUAAAUGUUAAUGUGAUACUUGCAGUAAAACUUUAUAUGUAGGACUAUCAACAUAAAAAAUUCGUAAGGAUUCUGCGGAACCCAGUGUCUCGCCUACUUUUGCUGUUAGUCGCAGGCUCAACAGAAAAUGGGGAAAAAAUUAUUUAAAAUUUUCCUCUAGAUACUAUCUUUUGAUUGUAAGAAGCUUCUAUCCAAGUUUGGUAAAAAUCCAGGAUUGUUUAUGAAUCUAAUAAAUUAUUUAAAAACUUUAACUGCAGACUGUAUGUAAUGUCAACUGGAAGAAAAACUAAGUCCAUCUAUAAGUAAUAUACGGAAAAACAGGAAAUAAAUUUUUACAAUAUUUCCUUCUAGAUACUAGCUUUUGAUCAUAAACAAGCUUCUGUCCAAGUUUGGUAAAAAUCCAGGAUAGUUUAAGAAAGUUGUUAAAAUUUGAAAAACUUUUACCACAGAGUGAAUGUAAUGUUAACUGGCAGAAAAACUAAGUCCAUUUAUAAGUAAAAUACAGAUAAACAGGAUUUUUUUUUACAAAAUUUACUUCUGGAUACUAUCUUAUGAUCAUAAACAAGCUUCUGUCCAAGUUUGGUAGAAAUCCAGGAUAGUUUAAGAAGUUAUUAAAAUUCUAAAAAACUUUAACCACAGAGUGAAUGUAAUGUUAACUGGCAGAAAAACUAAGUCCAUUUAUAAGUAAAAUACGGAUAAACAGGAUUUUUUUUUUUACAAAAUUUACUUCUGGAUACUAUCUUAUGAUCAUAAACAAGCUUCUGUCCAAGUUUGGUAGAAAUCCAGGAUAGUUUAAGAAAGUUAUUAAAAUUUCAAAAACUUUAACCACAGAGUGAAUAUUUGUGGACGCCGCCGACGGAAUGUAGGAUCGCUAUGUCUCGCUUUUGCGACAAAAGUCACAGGCUCGACAAAAAUCAAUGGUCAGUAUAGUAGGCGAGACAUUUCAGCGUGUGCACUCUUGUUCAAAUACCAUAAGCAAAAGGUUUACUAUAUUUCGUGUAUGGAAUAAUUGUAAGGUGUACAUGUCUGUCUGACACGAUUUAUCUGACCAUGACCUCAUUGUCAUGGAUCUUUAAAAAUGUUAAGUUUAUGUGAUACUUGUAAUAAAACCUUUAUCUUUAAGACUUUCAAUAUAAAUCAAUGGUCAGUAAAGCAGGAGAGACAUUUCAGCGUGUCCACUCUUGUUAGCCAACAGUAAGUUUUUACCAUAUUUUUUAAUUUGUCAAUCACUUUGAAAUAACUUAAUACAUCUACAUAUCAGUUUUUGUGAAAAUCCUUAAUACAUCUAUAUAUCAGUUUUUGUGAAAAUCCUAAUAUUAGAAGACAUUUGUCAAAAUUUUUUAAAGUUGUUUGGCUAAAAAAUCGUCAGAUCUAGAAAUAAUAAUUGUGAAGAUGUUUAUCCAUUUAAAAAAAGGUACUAAACUUUUGGACAUUAAGUAUAUAGCUUUAACAAGCUCAUUUAAUUUUCCAGUAAUAAAAAGCAUAAAUAUAUAUAUAGAUAUCUACAUGUUUAUUCAUACUACACCAAAAUGUACUAUCAGUGACAGUUUAUUUAAAAAGUACAAAAUAUAAGUAAUGAAAUUUACCAGCUAAGAUAUUUA